AGGUUUUGACUCCAUUGCUCACACGCUCUCUCAGCUCUCUAAUAAUCUGGAUAACGCUCUUCAGGUAAUCGGAGGUUCUUUCAAGUUUUAAGCCUUGAGAGCAUCCUCUGUUAAAGAAUUUUUAUUUUCCUUGCUUUAAUGCUCAUCAUUCCUUUCUAAGAUCACAAUGAACAUUGGAUUCUGACGAGAUUCUGCUAAUUCUUUGAAAAAACAAUGACAGAUUUAAUCUUUCUCUGAUCCUGUGGGAACUUACUUUGUUUUCAGGGAGCUAGAUACCUAGCCGAACCACCCACAUUGAGUGAAAUA
rnacentral:misc_RNA from 1 species